AAUCCUAAGUAAAGUGGCGCACGGGUGAGUAACACGUGGAUUAUCACCUUUUAGUGGGGAAUACCUCUGGGAAACCGGAGACAAUACCGCAUAAGCCUGUAAAGGGAAAGCAGCAAUGCGCUGAAAGAGGAGUCCGCGGCCGAUUAGCUAGUUGGCGGGGUAACGGCCCACCAAGGCGAAGAUCGGUAGCCGGCCUGAGAGGGCACACGGCCACACUGGCACUGAAACACGGGCCAG
rnacentral:rRNA from 1 species